UACAGCCAUAUCAUGUUGAAACACUUUGUUUUUGUACAAUCACCAAAGUUAAGCAAGAUCAAGCCUGGUCAGUACUUAUAUGGGUGACCACUUGGGAAUACCAGGUGCUGUAA
rnacentral:rRNA from 1 species